GAACAGACGUAGAAGCGGAGCGAGGCCGAGAGAAAGUACACCGGGAGAUCAUGGCGAAAAGAUUGCUACUCGAUUAUCACAAGAGUCUGCCGCUCAAUGGACUGCACGCUUCUACAGUUUUGCUUCUCAUUUAUGGGUUUACCUGUGUGUGCAGUAACGAGGUGCUGGUCCCAGAGAGGGUGAGUGCUGUGCUGGGGAAGAACAUUACUCUGGGCUGCAGGGUGGAGGUGGGCACCAACCUCAGCCUCACCCAGAGCUCCUGGGAGCGUCGCCUGCCCUCAGGCACCAUCACCCUGGCCGUCUUCAACCCCCAGUUUGGCAUCUCCAUCUCCCCAGACUACGCCAGACGCCUGUCCUUCCUGAACCCCUCCGUGCACGAUGCCACAAUCGUCCUGGAAGGCGUGGGAUUUCAGGACAUCGGGUCUUACACGUGUAAAGUGGCGACGUUCCCACUGGGCAACACGCAGGCAUCCACUACCGUCAAUAUACUAGUGGAGCCCAAGGUCUACGUCUCCGCCGGCUCUACGGCCCUGGUGGAUGGUGGUAAUGAAGCAGUGGCGGCCACCUGCAUAGCAGAGCGCGGCCGGCCUGCAGCUGAGGUGUCCUGGGAGACUGAGCUGUUUGGCCGCUCUGAGGUCCAGACGCAGGAUGAGCCCAACGGCACCUCCACCACGCAGGUGCACUACGUGUUGGAGCCACGGAGACACUCCCAGGGCCACACGCUCACCUGCGUGGUGCGCCACCCGGCCCUGCAGACUGAGUUCAGAAUACCCUACGUGCUCAAUGUGCAGUUUGCUCCUGAGGUGACGGUGGUAGGAUAUGACCAGAACUGGUUUGUUGGUCAGGACAAUGUGAAGCUGGACUGUGGAGCCAAAGCCAACCCACCUGCCCACCACUUCUCCUGGACCAGGUUGGAUGGACCGAUGCCUGACGGUGUGGAUAUAGUGAACAACACUUUUACUUUCACUCGUCCUCUGGAGAGAAAUGACUCUGGACUGUACAGGUGUGAGGUGUCCAAUGACAUCGGCCCACGCGGUCAGGACGUUCAUGUCUGGAUACAAGAUAUGGAGGAGGACAUGGAGAUUGACCGUAACGUCACUGGGAUCCUUGGAGAGGAUGUCUUCCUCCGCUGUCAGUACCUGGGACCGAAUGACAUCACAGAAGCCUCAUGGAAACGCCCAGACUCUAGAAUGAAACGAUCGAUGAAGAAAUUAACAGGCUACAAGAACAACAAGGCUUUCAGCAAAGACCCAGACUUCUCCGCCCCAGCCUCUCCCACCAAUCUGACUGUGAAGAUGAGGGUGUCUACUCUGGAGGCCCAGGGGGAGUACACAUGUGUGUUCGCCACCGAUGAAGAGGAGAUCACUAACAGCAUGUUUCUCACUGUUCUGGCGCGACCUGAUAUCUACACAGUGGUGACAGAGGACACAGACAACGCUACCCACUACCAGUCAGUUACAUGCUCAGCUACCAAUGGUAAACCUGUGGCUCUGAUUCGCUGGGAGAUCAACGGCAGCCCUCCUACUGACGACUCCUCUGUGGAGAUGAGGAACACCAGUUAUACCAAUGGCACUGCCACUAUGACCAGCUUACUCCGCUUCCCCACCCACCUACAGGACCAGGACAGGGUGACCUGCGUGGUCCAUCACCCAACCCUGCCUGACCCCACCACACAUGUCACAGUGAGGGUGGAGACCUUCGUGGCUCCCAAUAUGACCAUUGAGACAUACCUGGUUCUAGAGGAAGGGGAGAAGUUCUGGGUGGUCGCCUGUGGUGCGGCCGGAGGGCGACCCCGAGCUGACAUCACCCUGGUGCUGCCCAAUCAGGAGGUCAGUUCCAUGCUACAGAAGGAGGUUGUCAUGGAUGCAGCAGACACAUGGGUCAGAUCAUACCGCUUCCCAGCUGAGCUUCAUGAAGGGGAAAACAUCACCUGCCUGUUUGACCACCCCAAGUUCCCACACGGAGAGCUUCGGACCGUCACUUUGCCGGCAUUCUCUCUGUCUGCUGUUCGGCUGCAGAACCCAGGGUUGGCAGACAGCAGCAACAAGAGCCAGGCUGUAGAGUCAGUGGUUCUGGAGGAAGGACAGAGCAAAACCACCAUCGGGUUAGAGGUCGUUGGGGAUGUACCACGUUACAGUAUAGUAUGCACCAAAGAAGAGCAGUCUCUCCCUGAGGGUGUGGCAGUAUUUGGCAGUGCUCUAACCCUGCAGGGUCCUGUCGAGCUCUACCAUGCAGGGCUGUAUGAGUGUGAGGCCUCCUACUACAGCCACAGGGCAUCUGUACUGCUGGACAUUACCGUUAACCCACAUGUCAAGCAGCCUGGUACGAGCAGAGCCUUGUCUACAUAUCAUAGGUUACGUCCCAAAUGGCACCCUGUUCCUGAUAUAGUGCCUAUGGGCCCUGUGACUGUUCCUCCCAGCAUAAGGAUUGAUGUCCAGGACAGACUGGGUGACAGAUUCAUUGAGUGCCUGGCUGCAGACUCCGUCCCUGUUGCCAAUGUGUCCUGGGUUCUACCUGAGGGUGUGUCUGGGCCCUCCUGGUCCAGUCUCACAUCCCAUAAUGGAACCUAUUCUGUCAGCAGUGUGUUAGUCCUGCCUGCCUGCUCAGCCCAGGAGCUCAAUAUGGAGUGUGUGAUAGAUCAUACUGUGUUUGUGUUGCCAGAGAGAAGACAGAUAACACUCCCUGUGUGUGCUCCUCCUAACAUCACCAUCCAGUCCAGCUCUGAGUGGGAGAAAGAUGUAGCAUACACACUGGUGCAGUGCACUGUGGACAAUGUUGGACCUGCUGCCACCAUCUCCUGGAGUCUUGGAGACUGGGACAGUGACAAUAGUACCAGUCAGCUCAUGGAGGUGCAGGCGCAGCAGGUUCACAGGCAGCCUGCGCUCCAUGCCAAUGGCUCUGUGACGGUCCGUAGUGUGUUGAGGUUCCCCACUUUCAUGUUCUCUGGUCAGAAUGUCACCUGUGUGGUGGAUCACCUAGGUCUUGAGAAGCCAGAGAGAACAGGGAUACUGCUGCGUGGACUGGAGUCCCCUGUGAUGCGUGUUUUUGUUGGGAGGCAGAGGGGAUCUCCUCUGUGGCUGGCUGUAUGCGAGUACAGAGGGGACAGGCUCGGAGCACACCUCUCUUGGGUUCUACCUGACAACGCCACAGGCCACAUCUCCUUCCGGUCUGGGUAUGAAGGAGUGAGAGUGCUAACCAACCUCACCUAUGAGUUUUCACUGGCCCUCCACGAGGGACAGGACCUGAUCUGUCUCAUUCAAAAUCACCAUGGACUAAAGGAGAGGAGGACAGUCCAUGUCCCCAAAUACUACAUCUCAUCUGUCAGAGUACUCAAUCAAACCACUCCCCUGUACAAACCUUAUGGAGACGAGUCUGUUAUACAUCGAAUGUCCCUAAAGGAGAAUUUCCACAACCAGAGGAUCCUGCUCAAAGUCUAUGGCAGUGUGCCAACUUAUAGCCUUACCUGUCAGAGAAAUGACGGCACAUUGGUCCAGAUGGAUGGUCGGGCUCUGUUGUUCCAUUCAGAGGUCACGGAGCGGGAGGCGGGCAUCUACACCUGCCAAGCCUCUUUCUACCACCAUCAGGCCUCGGCCCUCAUUCAAGUGGAGGUAACCAGUGAAGAUAAACAACUCAUGAUCGUCUUCAUCGUCUGUUUCUCCUCGGCUGCAGCCAUCACAAUCCUCCUCAUCGUCACUCUGUGUGUUUUCUGGUGAGUCGAUCAGUACGAAGGCCUCCUGCAGGUGACAGACAGACAAACAGCAACUCAGCAGGUGACAUGUUUACAGGUAGCACUCCGGCAACCAUCAUGUUGGCAGAUGACAAACAGGAAACCAGGUCUGUGCGUCUGAUGGUUACUACAGCUUAGCAUGACCAAAGUAGCACAGAGCUAUUCACAAACAGGAUGCUCUGUGGCUGGAGCAGACGGGUACAUCUGCCACCACAGCUCUGCCACACAACUCACACAGUCUGAUUCUUUCUGUCUCUGUGGUUAAGACAACAGAUUUAUUUUUGGUUUAACGUUAUCAUAGGGCUUAACUCUGAGUGACUACUCUGGAAGUAAGAAAAGCUAUUCAAAAACUUCACAGCUGGAGAAUUUAUAUUGUAAUUCAAUCCCAGGCACAAUGCUUGGAAUGAGAACUGCAUAAAGCAGUCAUCUCUUGUUUCUGUCAUUGGAUCGGAUCAGAUUAGACAGGUGUGUCAAUACCACAGUGUUUGGAUACACUUUGGGAUCCCAAAUGUCUCUAAAAUCAUCUGAUAACUCUCCCACAGGGCUCUGGUCAAAAGUAGUGCAUUGUGUAGGGAUUAGGGUACAAUUUGGGAUGUAGACUAAGUUCCUUUUUGUCUGGACUCGUGUGAAAAGGGAUGGUAAAUAUAUAGACACAGACACACAGACUCCACUUCCGUGUUAGUUCAGUGGCUGAUUCAUUGUGUCUUUGGUCAGUACAUUUGGUCAAGGUGCCAUUGGUGCGAUGAGCAUCACUGUCCCAUUAUCCAUGGUUCCCGUGGGAAGGUCCUGUCAGGCUAAUUUGGGAAGGUCAGUCAGUCGACAGACGUACACAGAGAACCUGACUCCCCAGGAGAAUAGCUAUUCCGGGAUUUGCAUCUUCCAGGUCGCAAACACUAGGAACACUUUUUGAAAGGAGCAGGUUUUCAUUGGCCUGGUUGGUGUCAUAGGGAUCAUGAUGGAUGAGGAGAGCUACUGCUUCUAACAUCAGAGAGAUCAAUGAUGAUGUCACCACCAUUCUGCUUAUAUAUUCCUGUCACAUAAUGCAUUCACAGUUCACACACUCAGUGGCUCAGUGGAAGUCUGUUCACUCAUACAAGGGGUGCAGUUUGGCCAUACAGCAAAAUAAAUGGAGGAGACCGCCUAACAUCUAAGAAGCGGGAGUCGCUGGCACCCUUGACCUCUCUGACCCAGGAACUGUGCUCUCCAGAGCUGAGGAAGGGAAAGACAGCAGUGACAGUACCAGGAGGACGAGGCCAGGAG